rnacentral:rRNA from 1 species
ACACAUGCAAGUCGAGGGGUAACAGGGAGCUUGCUCCGCUGACGACCGGCGCACGGGUGCGCACCGCGUAUGGAACCUACCUUUUACAGGGGAAUAGCCCAGGGAAACUUGGAUUAAUGCCCCGUGGUACCACGACCUGGCAUCAGGAUGUGGUUAAAGCCUUCGGGCGGUAGAAGAUGGCCAUGCGUCCCAUUAGUUUGUUGGUAAGGUAACGGCUUACCAAGACUACGAUGGGUAGGGGCCCUGAGAGGGGGAUCCCCCACACUGGUACUGAGACACGGACCAGACUCCUACGGGAGGCAGCAGUGAGGAAUAUUGGACAAUGGAGGAGACUCUGAUCCAGCCAUGCCGCGUGCAGGAAGAAUGCCCUAUGGGUAGUAAACUGCUUUUAUACAGGAAGAAAAAGAGCUACGUGUAGCUUACUGACGGUACUGUAAGAAUAAGGACCGGCUAACUCCGUGCCAGCAGCCGCGGUAAUACGGAGGGUCCGAGCGUUAUCCGGAAUUAUUGGGUUUAAAGGGUCCGUAGGCGGGCGAUUAAGUCAGUGGUGAAAGUCUGUAGCUCAACUAUAGAAUUGCCUUUGAUACUGAUCGUCUUGAGUUAUAGUGAAGUUGCCGGAAUAUGUAGUGUAGCGGUGAAAUGCAUAGAUAUUACAUAGAACACCGAUUGCGAAGGCAGGUGACUAACUAUAUACUGACGCUGAUGGACGAAAGCGUGGGGAGCGAACAGGAUUAGAUACCCUGGUAGUCCACGCCGUAAACGAUGGAUACUAGCUGUCCGGAACCUUGAGUUCUGGGCGGCCAAGCGAAAGUGAUAAGUAUCCCACCUGGGGAGUACGUUCGCAAGAAUGAAACUCAAAGGAAUUGACGGGGGCCCGCACAAGCGGUGGAGCAUGUGGUUUAAUUCGAUGAUACGCGAGGAACCUUACCAGGGCUUAAAUGCAUAUUGACAGGGGUAGAGAUACCUUUUCCUUCGGGCAAUUUGCAAGGUGCUGCAUGGUUGUCGUCAGCUCGUGCCGUGAGGUGUCAGGUUAAGUCCUAUAACGAGCGCAACCCCUACCGUUAGUUGCCAGCAUGUCAUGAUGGGGACUCUAACGGGACUGCCGGUGCAAACCGUGAGGA